AACCUAUGAUGAGAGCACUUUUUCAAAGGAUCUUUAAAUCUCUCCCAUGCAUCAUAUAAUGUCUCUGCAUCAAAUUGAAAAAAAGAAGAGAUGUUGUUUCUUAACUU
rfam:Gossypium arboreum cultivar AKA8401 contig_1356_15, whole genome shotgun sequence.